GACGAACGCUGGCGGCGUGCUUAACACAUGCAAGUCGAACGGUGAAGCCCUUCGGGGUGGAUCAGUGGCGAACGGGUGAGUAACACGUGAGCAACCUGCCCCUGGCUCUGGGACAACCACUGGAAACGGUGGCUAAUACCGGAUACGACCCGUCACCGCAUGGUGUGUGGGUGGAAAGUUUUUCGGCUGGGGAUGGGCUCGCGGCCUAUCAGCUUGUUGGUGGGGUGAUGGCCUACCAAGGCGACGACGGGUAGCCGGCCUGAGAGGGCGACCGGCCACACUGGGACUGAGACACGGCCCAGACUCCUACGGGAGGCAGCAGUGGGGAAUAUUGCACAAUGGGCGCAAGCCUGAUGCAGCGACGCCGCGUGAGGGAUGACGGCCUUCGGGUUGUAAACCUCUUUCAGCUCCGAAGAAGCGAGAGUGACGGUAGGAGCAGAAGAAGCACCGGCUAACUACGUGCCAGCCGCCGCAGUAACAC
rnacentral:rRNA from 1 species